rnacentral:rRNA from 1 species
ACAGCAGUAGCCGCGGUAAUACAGAGGGUGCGAGCGUUAAUCGGAUUUACUGGGCGUAAAGCGUGCGUAGGCGGCUUUUUAAGUCGGAUGUGAAAUCCCUGAGCUUAACUUAGGAAUUGCAUUCGAUACUGGGAAGCUAGAGUAUGGGAGAGGAUGGUAGAAUUCCAGGUGUAGCGGUGAAAUGCGUAGAGAUCUGGAGGAAUACCGAUGGCGAAGGCAGCCAUCUGGCCUAAUACUGACGCUGAGGUACGAAAGCAUGGGGAGCAAACAGGAUUAGAUACCCCAGUAGUCCCUGUCUCUUAUAU